UCAUUUAUGGAGGCUUCAAUGUGGUCCGAUGGACACAAGUGCCUAAGGAAGGAAGUUGCUAGAGCCAGCUAUGUUAUGAGAUGAGAAGUCAGAUAUCAACUUGUCCAGAUGUUGGCUAUUGCAUAGAUUGGAGCCAGUUGGAACUGGAGUCUGAGACCGAAGUCAGGAUUAGCCGGACUUCGGUGUUCUGCUUAAAAUGAUCGCCAGGAAUCAAGGAUCGUCAGGGACCGAAGCUAGGAUCGAGAGAUCCCAGGUUAUGUACUAGAUGACUUCAUACGACCCUGCCAA
rnacentral:lncRNA from 1 species